AAAUAAUUAAAUUUGAAAUCGAACCUCACAUUCACUAUGCACUGCAGCCCCAAUUUGUUUAUAAGUGCUCGAAUUCAUGUUUACAUAGUCCAAACUUCCAUUCAAUUAAUUUGUCUCAUCUCAAAACAAUUUGUAAACUUUGUGUAGUCCAGCUUCUAACUUGAAGAAGGAAACGGACUCUCCCUAUCUCAAGUCAUCCCCAAAAGGUUAAUAUUGAUUUCACUAAACUUAGUGUGAUUCGAAAUAUUCCACUAGUCUAAUAUAUUUGCUAUUACACAUGUGAGACAAAUCAUUAUCGGGCCAAAGAAUUAACAUUUUAGAGCCCAAAACAAUAAUAAUCCCCAACCCAAAAUAAUUUGAAGGAGCCCAAGUCAAAAGUGAUAUAAGAAAAAGAUAAAACAUGGAAGUAUUCUCCCAUUCCCUACGCAAGUCUACUCCCUUCCUUCACUUUUCACUUUAACCCAAUAAAUAUUAUAGUAGGAGUACUAAAUAAUUAAACGAGAAAAUCAAAUACUCCCUUAACCCCCCUAUGCGUAUCUCUCUCUUCUCUCUCCCUCGCGUUUUUUUUUUCUUUUCUCCCCAAAACAGAACCCGCCGAUUUUCUCCGAUUCGCCGUGGUGCAAGAAUCGACGUUGCCGUCGACUCCGAUCUCUCUCUCUCGAUUUCCACCGCCUCACAUCACCGCUGCUCCACCGCCCCAGCCCCCUUCUCUCCUGAAUCUGCCGCCGCCGUCCCUUCUUUCUCUCCAGCUUCGCCGCCGCUCCGUCGGACUCCCGAAAGGUUGUGAAAUUAGUGACGUAUCGGAGUGGGGGCUGUCCUUGGUUGUCUCCGGGCUGCCGAAGAGCCGUCGCCGGAAAUCCGGCAGAUUCAUGUUCAAGAUAAGAUUCUCAAUUUAUGCUUACCCUGGUUGUAGGACUUAGUUGUCUAUUUUAUAAAUUUGGUGAAUUCUGGACAAUUGUGUGUCUUCUUGGAAGACUUAAUGGUGAAACAAGUAAUUCUUGGUGUUUAUUGUUAACAUUUGGGCAGAUUCUUCUUCCAACUACAUAUAUGCAUGCUUGUACAUAGAUGAAAGAAAAGAAAGGCUUGGUGUUUACCUUUUGAUGUGGCAGUUAAGUGUUGUUGGAUGGUAGUGUUUCACUCUACGAAUUGUGUGAAAUUCUUCUUCCUCAAACUCCUAUAUCCAUGUUGGCUUGGUGUGUACAGACAACUUAGGAUUACUUAGGAUUUGAGGGUGAUGUGUGUGUGAGGGAAAGAAAAAUGAUUGUAUACAAUACAAAAAAGGUGGCAUUGAAAGUGACGUGUAACAAGUUGGUGUAGCAAGUUGCAUGGUAUUCUUAUCUCUAAUUAUUCUCUUUUGUCAGAAGGGAUAUGAUUUGUCUGCCCUCAUUAAAUGAGGCAUUUAAUGUUUUGAAAAAAAAAAUCAUCCUCAUGAUCGGCCCUCUCUCCCCUUUUUUAUAUAUAUAUUAUUUGUUUAAUUUGGUGCAGGAAAAAAAAUUCAAUUCCAGUUCGGAGCUGUUCUCGUUGAUGUACCCGAUUUUCUUUAGAACAAAAGAUGUAUUAAAUUAAAUUUUUGUUGGACUUUUAUUGGAUGUAUCGGACAUUAAGAUUUUGAUUAUGGGACUUUAUUUAUUUACUUAAA